UAAUAUUUUUUUAAAAAAAUAUUUUACUUAUAAAGAAGCCCGUACUUUACAGCAGGUAGAAACUAUAGUAGUAAUUAAACAUUAAUUCUUUUGUGUAUCCCAUUUGGUAUAUCCACCAAAAGUUACAGCGGAAAGAGAAAGUGGGCGUGCAUUAGUGAGAAAGAGGGAGGAAGCGAGGGAAGGAAGCGAUGGUGUAUAGCAAAAGAUGAAAAAUAGAGAAUUGAUAAAUAAAUUGGAGAUAAAAAAUUAAAAGUCCGGUGGAGAGAAAGAAAAUGACCAUAAUGAAUAAUUAGAGAUAAAGAGGUUAGGAUUGUAGAUGGUAGUGGGACCAUUUAAAUAUACUAAUUAAAAAUUUGAUAGUGGAAUCGUUUGUGUUAAUUGAAAAUAUAGCGGGAUCAUUUAAACACACUAAUUAAAAGUUUGGUUAGUGGAACCGUUAAAAUGUAUAUUGAAAGUUUAGUAAAAGAAAGAAGAAGGGUCAUAUGCUAGUGAGGGUGAAAAAGAACUUACCACGUAGCAACAAACAUUGGAGAUUCAUAUAAGUUAAUAGAUAGAUGAUGCUUGUGCGCAGUAUAAAAAACAUUAUUAAUUCUGUAAAAAA
rnacentral:lncRNA from 1 species